AAGAGAGUGUAUAAGUGUCAUAGAUGCAAAGAACACCAUUCUGAGAAAAUCAGCACUGGGAAGAGGACGGUGGGCCAUGACCCUGAGAACAGAACCAAGAGGCUGAAGAAGGAAGCAGAGAAGUGCCAAGAAUUGCAGAAGAGGGGGGACAGGGUGAGCGGCCCCUGGGUGAGGGGUUCCAGCUGCAGCAGGAGAGACACCAGAGGGACGGGGCCAUAUGGCUGCCAUUGGCUUUGCUGCUGCUCUCUGUCCCAGUGGUGUCCUGGAAACCUAGGAGCCCCUGGAAGGUCUUAAACACUCUGAUGACCCUGUGGAGCACGUAGCAUCGUGGACCCACUGUUUUCCGGCAUUUCUGCUUUUAAAAGAGAAGUCAGAAGUGAAAUGGCUCAUGUUUACAUGUAGGCAACAACCUCCACUUAAAUAAAUAUUGUGAUCCAA